GUCUAGGUUGCAAAAAAGACUAAAGUCCAUCAAGUUCAACCUUCAAAUCUAUUCUUUUAUGCUGUUGAUCCAAAAGAGGGCAAAAAAACCCCCAACAAUUCUAGCAGUUACUAUAAUGAAUUAUCCUUGAUUAAAGGUAUCACAACUUGUAAUUGACGCAUGCAUUGUUGGAUUCUAUGACAUACUAACCCAAACAAAAGUAGGACUACUUUGUCUCAGAAUUUUUCCUACACCUGACACUUCUAGACAUUGGGCGAAGUGUAAAUCCCCCAGGAGCAGAAAAGAACCGGAUGGAAGAAUAUGGCACCACCCAUGAGGUACAGGUUCAAGUAAGAUAAACUCACCAGCCUGUCCCCUCCCAACUCAUCUUUGCCGGACUCCCAGCGGCAGUGUCAUAUCACCGAAGACAGUUAUAUUGCCACUUUUAUUUUUUUGAGUUGAAAGGAAAUGCUUUUGUAAAGAUGAGUCCCUGGUUAUUCUCUAUAUUAGAGAUGUGAUUUUUCCCACUUCAGGACCUAUUCAUAUUGCUGAAGGAAAACAAUCAUAAACUUGAUGUCUUCCUUACAGCUACGUGCCAAACCUUAUUUUAUG